ACCUGCACAUUGUCACGGGAACAAACCAUCCCCACAGGGACUGGCAUUUGUAAGCCAUUGUCAUACAUGCUUGGCACGUUAGAAAUCCAGAGGGCAGAAUGCCUCCCUCUCUCCACUACAAAUAAAGGUAGCCAGGCAGGUCAGAGUUAAUGAACAACAUACCAUGAUGUCUUCUUUAACAAAUCCCUGGCAACUAAGCUUCCUCACCACAAACAAAUGAACAAGUGCCAUUCAGCAGCCACUCCAAGCUGGUGUUAGGUCAGUGCCCGGCCAGAGGUUCACGAUAUCUAUGGAAAGCAGGUUGCAAUGGCUCGGGCGGGAGAGUGUAAUUGAUGGACAAACUCAAGCACUCAAAGGCCACCCAUUUGCUUCCCACCUCAAACCUCUUAGCCAGUGAUACAGAGAGAAGAAGAGGAGGAAGAGCUUGGUGACGCAAGGUGAGCUGAAGGAGAGCCGCUUGGGUGAGGAUUAUGAAGGCACGGGUGCCAUGGAAACCACUCUGAAGGCCCCCUAAAGCUGCAGCUGUCAGGAGGGGCUGUCUGCUGCCAUUGGUCGGCCACGUGGACCCUCUCCCUAACACGAUGCGUGACUUUUAUUUAUUUUACUCUGUUUUGCAUCUUAUGCCUGCUCUCGGCUUCUCUUGGCUUCCUCACAGUCCUGGUGCAGGAUGCUGCCUGCAGGUCAGUAGGAUAAAGGUGCUAAUGUUUUCUGUUUCUCUUUUUUGAACUUCUGACUUUUUAGGCUCAUUUUCUGGUGCUCUCUCCUCCAUGCCAUAAGGCAGCACAGAUUUCAAGCCAUAGAUGUUGGAGGCAGAAAAUGGGAUUAUGUUAGACAGAGAGGGAAGCCAGCUCUUCUAGCAGGUGCUGUAGAAAUGGCUUCUGAUUUUGGUCACAGAAGCAGUCCCUAACUUUCCCUGCAAAUCCAAGAAGCCCUCAAAGGGGCCAAAGGCAGGCUCUUUAGCACAAUGUCAAUCUGAGCAGAAUGGAAGGGUUGCCAGAGGUUGCUAGUGAGAUUCAAAGCCCUGUGGGUGCCUUGAUCUUCCUAAGCUUGCUUUUAGAGAAGUGUGCUGUCGAAACUUCAGGAGGCCGCCAGCUUCUGGUUGGACCUCAACCUCCUCCUCCCUCAACCUCCUCCUCCCUUUGAGUAGGAAUCAGAAGAAUCUUUUACAUUAGCCUUUGCCUUGAUAGUUUUUAUAUCCUUCAUUUUAUUUCUUUCCAGCAAUGGCCCUGAGAAAUUGGCAGGCGAAGUGCCAUUAACCCUGCAUUGGAGAGGAGGAAAUUGAGACCCAAUUUUUUUUUUUUUUUUUUGAGACAGAGUCUCGCUUUGUCACCCAGGCUGGAGUGCAGUGGUGCGAUCUCAGCUCGCUGAAAUCUCCACCUUUCUGGUUCAAGUGAUUCUCAUGCCUCAACCUUCCGAGUAGCUGGGAUUACAGGCGUGUGCCACCAUGCCUGGCUAAUUUUUGUAUUUUUAGUAGAGACAGGGUUUCACCAUGUUGACCAGGCUGGACUUGAACUCCUGACCUCAAGCGAUCCACCUGCCUUAGCCUCCCAAAGUGCUGGGAUUAUAGUCGUGAGCCACUGUUUCCAACUGAGACCCAAUAAUUUAAGUAGAAGGGCUGGGACUGGGGCCUGAGGCUGCUGCUCCCUGCCUAAGGCUCUGAGACUGCUUGAUCACAGGGUCAAGAUCUUUGAUGAAGCCGCUUUCUCAAGCUGUGGGUGGGCUUUUCCUGGUAGGAAAUUUGCCUGAGACCUGGCAAAGAUGGGACCUUUUAAAUAGUGAAGGGAAAUGAGCAAUCCUUCCAAAGUCAAGUUCCUCAACGAAGCCCUUCUAAACACUGUCUCUCCUCCCUGCACACAUGCCUAUGUGCACACAAUACACAUGCUUGUUCAUGCUUUAUCCCUCUUGGUUAGGGGUCUAUCCCCAUCAAGCCAUUAAAGUUGUUCUGGUGGAAUCUCUGAUGACACAUUUUUUUUUUGGCUUGUGAAAACCAACCAUUUUGUUAUUUCAUGAGUUUAUGAGUUGACUGGGCUCAGCUGGGAGGUUCUUCUGGAUGGGGCUUCAGUCAUAAACAAACAUGACUAAGUCAGAGUCCCCAAGAUGUAUCACUCACAUCUGGCAUUUGAUGCUGACUCACUCUGGGCUGGC
rnacentral:lncRNA from 10 species